UGUGUAUGGAGCUCAGUAGCAGCCUGGCAGCCUCGUGGACUCUGCUGAGUGUUUUCUUACACUGGGAUUUCCCUGGCCUAGAGACUGAAAUCACAGAACCAUGGAAUCCAAGCCAGAGGGGCUUUCUCUGUCAUCUGAGAUAGUACUGAUUUUCGGCUACAUGUACUGGAGCCAGCCAGGGCCCGGGCUGUGGGGCUGACAGAGUAGGGAGCAGACUCAGAUUUUCCCACAUUUGAGUGUAUCAUUCUGUGCUGUGAUGUUUGGCCCUUUCAGCUGAUGGCUCUCAAGAGGAUGAGGAAAUGAGAAAGCCACAUACCAAGGUUCUAUUUUUGCCAGGACCUGUACCGCCACUCUACACAUGCCUCGAAUGCUAACAGUGCAUGUUCUCCUUGUGAGGGACAAGGAGUUAAUGAUUCUGUAGAAGACGGCACAUCUAAAGAAAGACCAGGUAUUCCGUAAGACUCGCUGGCUGGGAGUCACUUCAAGGCUAAGGGCUGAAAUCGGGAAUAUCUUCACACAUAUGGCUGGCACUGGGACUUUUCACCAGAAUACCUCCAGGGAGCCCUUCCCCGUGGUCCAUUCUCCCCAGCAUGGAGGCCUCGAGGUAUAUGGACUUCUAACCGACUGACUUCAAAUACAUGUGACCCAGGAGAACUAAAUGGACACAGUGAGGCCUCUUGUAUCUUGCCUUAGAGCUUAGGUGUCAUUUUAAUGGCCAAGAGUGAGUUGUUAGAGUUGAUCCCAAUUCAAGGCAAGGGGACAUAGAUAUCAUCUAUCAGUUGGAAGAGUGUCAAUUAGUGUGCAAAAAUGUUCAGAAUUCCUCAUAGCUAGUUACGUGGCUCCAACAUAACUCACAAAUGUUUUCUUACGUGCUCAGAAAGAGGAAAAUGAAACUGGGUUUGGUGAACAUAUUACAAGUAGAUACAGCAGCAUUUUUAUCAUUUAUUAAAAACCCUAUUCUAAUUUCCAGUUUUAAAUUUAUUUUUGAGGUGGGGGGAACG